AGCCUUGAGGUGUCUAACAUUUCAGAUUGCAAAUCUGAGGUAGCAGAUUAACUACCUGCCGGGGCUU
rnacentral:tRNA from 1 species